ensembl:snRNA U6 U6 spliceosomal RNA
GUGCUUGCUUCGACAGCACAUAUACUAAAAUUGGAAUGAUACAAAGAAGAUUAGCAUGACCCCUGCUCAAGAAUGACAUGCAAAUUCAUAAAGCAUUCCAUUUUUUU